rnacentral:rRNA from 1 species
GAUGAACGCUAGCGGCAGGCUUAACACAUGCAAGUCGAGGGGCAGCACGAUGUAGCAAUACAUGGGUGGCGACCGGCGCACGGGUGCGUAACACGUAUGGAAUCUGCCCUGUACUGGGAGAUAGCCCUCCGAAAGGAGGAUUAAUAUCCCAUGAUCGCCGAGGUGGCAUCACCUUGGUCUGAAAGCUCCGGCGGUACAGGAUGACCAUGCGCACGAUUAGCUAGUUGGUGAGGUAACGGCUCACCAAGGCUACGAUCGUUAGGGGGCCUGAGAGGGUUAUCCCCCACACUGGUACUGAGACACGGACCAGACUCCUACGGGAGGCAGCAGUGAGGAAUAUUGCGCAAUGGAGGCAACUCUGACGCAGCCAUGCCGCGUGCAGGAAGAAGGCGCUACGCGUUGUAAACUGCUUUUAACCGGGAAGAAACCCCAGGACGUGUCCUGGGUUGACGGUACCGGAGGAAUAAGCACCGGCUAACAUCGUG